ACGGGUGAGUAACACGUGGGUGAUCUGCCCUGUACUUCGGGAUAAGCCUGGGAAACUGGGUCUAAUACCGGAUAUGACCACGGGAUGCAUGUCUUGUGGUGGAAAGAUUUAUCGGUGCAGGAUGGGCCCGCGGCCUAUCAGCUUGUUGGUGGGGUAAUGGCCUACCAAGGCGACGACGGGUAGCCGACCUGAGAGGGUGACCGGCCACACUGGGACUGAGACACGGCCCAGACUCCUACGGGAGGCAGCAGUGGGGAAUAUUGCACAAUGGGCGGAAGCCUGAUGCAGCGACGCCGCGUGAGGGAUGACGGCCUUCGGGUUGUAAACCUCUUUCGACAGGGACGAAGCGUAAGUGACGGUACCUGUAGAAGAAGCACCGGCCAACUACGUGCCAGCAGCCGCGGUAAUACGUAGGGUGCGAGCGUUGUCCGGAAUUACUGGGCGUAAAGAGCUUGUAGGCGGUUCGUCGCGUCGUUCGUGAAAACCUACCGCUCAACGGUGGGCUUGCGGUCGAUACGGGCGGACUAGAGUACUUCAGGGGAGACUGGAAUUCCUGGUGUAGCGGUGAAAUGCGCAGA
rnacentral:rRNA from 1 species